CCUACGGGAGGCAGCAGUGAGGAAUAUUGGUCAAUGGACGCAAGUCUGAACCAGCCAUGCCGCGUGCAGGAAGACGGCUCUAUGAGUUGUAAACUGCUUUUGUACGAGGGUAAACGCAGAUACGUGUAUCUGUUUGAAAGUACCGUAUGAAUAAGGAUCGGCUAACUCCGUGCCAGCAGCCGCGGUAAUACGGAGGAUUCAAGCGUUAUCCGGAUUUAUUGGGUUUAAAGGGUGCGUAGGCGGUCGGAUAAGUUAGCGGUGAAAGCCUGUGGCUCAACUACGGAAUUGCCUGUGAUACUGGGAGGCUAGAGAGUGUUUGCGGUAGGCGGAAUGCAUGGUGUAGCGGUGAAAUGCUUAGAGAUCAUACAGAACACCGAUUGCGAAGGCAGCUUACCAAGCCACUUCUGACGUUGAGGCACGAAAGCGUGGGGAGCAAACAGGAUUAGAUACCCUGGUAGUC
rnacentral:rRNA from 1 species